ensembl:lncRNA
GAAUGAUCCCAUGACCAGCACUCAGGAGUGCUGGGAGUUGAGUUACUUGCACUGUGGACGUGCUCUGUGAUGUCCUGUCUCCCAGAAAAGCUGCACAGUGCCAGUGUGCUGCACAGCAUUUGGGAGAUGUUGGGUCCUAUCUCCCACACAUGCAAAGGCAGCUCUCAGAAUCACACUAGCACAGAGCAUGGAAUAGAAUCAAAUCAUGGCAUGUUCCAUCCACCAACUCCUGCUAUUUAUUUUCAUCUGACAAGAAACAAAUCUGAGCCUGAAGGUUCCAGGAAGAUCCUGAGGCCAGGAUCCAGACUGAGAUCAGAACAUUCAGAAGUCACAGGUCAGGAUCUUGUUGUGAGCCAGGAUGUACAGAAGGAGACUCUCUACAUGGAUCCACCAGCUUUUCCAUUGGCCGAGGGAGCACCACGACCUACACCAGCCAGGGAAUGGAGCAGUCUCUGCCUCAAGGACCUAAUAAAGAAUGGGGGCACCUCAGAGGAGCUUGCUGGGCCUCACAUUGAGAUGGAAGUGAAAAUGACGAUAGCCACUGAGUUGAGUGCAGUGCAGAGCAGAUGAGAUUAUUUUAAACAGUCAUCCAGACAGUCGUGCCUCUAUACACCCAGUGGUGCCAAUAUACAACCAGUUUGCUUUUAUGUCCUGAGGAGCAGAGAGAGUCUAUAUAGGCUCAACGAAUCGUAGAAUCAUUGAGGUUGGAAAAGACCUCUAAGAUCACCAAGUCCAACUGUCAGCCCAUCCCCAUCAUGCCCACUGACCACAUCCACACGGCUCUGGAACACCUCCAGGGACAGUGACUCCACCACCUCCCUGGGCAGCCUGUGCCACUGCAGCACCGCUCUUUUGGAGAUGAAAUGUUUCCUAGUAUCCAACCUUAACUUCCCCUGGUGCAACUUUAGGACAUUAAGCAAAACCUUCCCUUAUUUUGGUUGAUAUUAGACUGAAAUCCGGUACCAAGAGCCCUGUGGUCAUUCAGAGACCCACUGUCUUCAAGCAGCUUGCAAAGGGGGAACCUGCUGGGCUAGGUUAUCCAGCCUGCUAUAAAAGGCAACCUGUCAGUGCACUCAGGUGAUGGAGGCUUAGGACAGGUGUUGCAUGCCUGGAUUAGCUCUGCAACAAGGAUGCCUGUUUCUCUGUACUACGAUGUUUCAUAUUCUAGAAGCUGGAGAGGCCACGGCUCAGUCAGCCAUGCACUCGUGCCCUUUCCGGAGACACAUUGGAGCUGGGCUUGGGGCCGUUCUGGCAGUGUUGGUGGCUUGAGUUAAGUCCGCCUAUUUAUUAAGGUGACAUUUGCCCAAACGCCCUCCAGAGCUCUGCCACCACUGCCUGUACGGAUAGCCUCUUAGCAUUUCUGCAUUUUUACUGUCUAAAGAAGAUUUUUGUUUGAGAAUGUCCCUGGUUUGUUUCAAGUGCCAGGAAUGUGAAAGGAACUGCUGCUGGAAGACUCAGCCAAAGGUCACCAAAGCAGCUCCCUGUGCUGAGAGUUUCCUGUAAGGGAGAGAGAUGAUUGUGUAGGUGCAACACAGAGUCUGAGUCACACGAGGUGUGCAAGUGAUAGAAAGCAGCGCGACUCUCAUCGCUUCCCCUGGAGAUUAGCCCAAAGCCAGCCACAUCCCAGCUUCCAGACACUGUCAGGGCAUCAGAUUAAGUGUUCUGCUUUCAGACUCACGCUUAACAGUUCUCCCUCCUCUGAUGUCUGCAUCCUUAGAGUGUUUUUGGACUGCGGUUCUAUCCUCUGUUAAUCUUCCCAUCUCAAGUAUGUCCUACGUGUGAAGGUUUUACCACUUACAGAGGGACAGAUUAACAGCUGUUAUCCCUCUUCAACCAAAGGGACCUGUAUUUGAGGUAGGGAAUGCUCUUGUUUUAGUUUCUGACUUCAUAGAAGAGCUUAUCUGCUCUCUUGUAGGAAUGGCUUGAUGGUUGUUUCAUAUAUAAAGCUGCUUAAUUCCUUGAUUUGCUAACGGAUCACAAAGAUCUUUGUGACAUCCACGUGAGCAACAAAAGAGGCCAGAGAGGGAAAGGCAAAGGAAUUUCUCCAGGGAGCAUUGAAAAGCAGCACUGCCAUCCCUGCUCUCAGCAGUAACAGAUUUUUGAACAGGUGUGACCUCAUCAUGACCUGAGGUCUUCUGUUCUUGAAAUAUCAGGGUCAUACCAUGAUCCCAGAGGUGUGGGUUCAGUCCUCACUCUAUGUAAGGCAAAAUGGGCAUCUCAAAAGCAGGUGUCUCCUCUACAUAUUUUUGUGGUGGAUUCUGGCAGGGUAUAGCUGAGAGAACAAAGAGAUGUGGUCCUCUGCAAGAAGGGGGUGAUCUCAGCUGAGUUUCAGGCAGAGGAGUCACAAGGCACUCCACAAUUCCCAAAACCUUUUUGGUAACAAAAGGACCACACAUUAGCUCUUUUUUUUUUUUUUUUUUCCCAAUGAUUUACUGUCCAGAAUCAUGUAAAGAGAAGGUAUUGCCUUUCAAGGCUGUGACAGAAACCAAUGUAGGCCAAAUCGUGUUUGUUUUCUGGCUGACACACAUGGCCUGCGCAGCCAAGAUCAAUUUGCUGCCCUUUAUUUCUCUCAAGUGGCUCUUUAGACACUGAUGCUUCACAUUUCUCCCUCCCAAGGCACAUCUGUGCUUUUUGCUGUUUUCAACAGCUAGCGUUUUACGCAACGUGAUCUUACUGUCCUCUUUUACAUAUACCUUCCCUCUCUAGAUGGCUGAUGUGCUGAUGCUUCUGAGCUUGGAUUGGUCAACAUAUCUCAAGACCACUUGUGACUGUAGGCUGGGUUUCAGAAUCAAGUGCUUUGUCGAGGUCCUUUCUGAGAACUGGAGGAGGGCCAGGCAUGUCCACUUUACUAUGCAGCCAUCCAUCUCCCUGGAGUUUCAUAAUAAUACCCAUCUGUUCUCUAGCUUGCUUACGAGAAAGGACUGUGGGGUUACAGUGGUACCAAUUAGCACAUCUUGUUGAGACUGCGUUUAAAAAUAUUCACUGCUCAUCUGCAUGACGAGAAAAAUCCAUUUCUGUUAACGAGGUUGUUUUCCUCCUGACGCUUGCUGUCUGCUUGGUACAAUGAGUCUUGGGAGGAGAGACUUACACCAGGGGGACCAGUGCCUUACUUUGAAUGAAACUGGCCAGAGUCAGCUCUGGGGGGUGAGAGGAAAGUUCUAGGAUGUGGCAAGUGACAGAAGAACACAAAGUAGGGGAAGUGUUUGUAAUGUUCUCCGUUCUCAUCCCCAAAUCCCACUAGAGACAAAGCCUACAAAGGUACAUCGCUAUGCCUGGUGUGCACUAUCAAGCAGGACUCUGCUAAGUGCACGCUCACUUGCACUCUGCUGAUAAAAAAAUGGACCAUGAAGAGCAGUUUAGUGGUUUUCCGUAACACAGCUGCUGCACAAAACUCAACUGAGAUAUGCUUGCCUCACAGAGGCCCUUAAAGAUCUCAUGGCGAGUGUGUCAGACAAACCUCACAUCUAGUGACUCCAGCUCCAUAUUGUUUGAGUGCCUUAUGUAGGAUCGUUUUUACUCUCCAUGACAAUGGCAGACAACAGAAAGCAGCAGAGAUGUGAAGGAAUUUGGCUGAGAAGGAAUCUGAGGGCAGCUUUGGCAGUCAGGCUAAGCGCAAGAAAAUGGCUGGCAUUCUCUCACUGUGCAAGCAGACAGACGUCAGGGCGGCAGCUGAACAAUGAGAAGGCUCUCCACAGCUCAGGAGCCACCCCCCUCCAAGAGCUCUUCACUCCAUUUUUAGAUCUAUUCACUGGUGACUUCCUCCUCUAAGCUGACAAGAGGGUCCUGAUGGACAAAAACCUGGACAUGAGCCAGCACUGUGCUCUUGCAGCCCAAAAGGCCAACAAUAUCCUAGGCUGCAUCAAAAGGAUGGCCAGCAGGGAGAGGGAAGGGAUUGCCACUCUCUGCUCCACCCUCAUGAAGCCCCAUCCAGGCUUGGGGCCCCCAGCACAGGCAGGAUGGGGAGCUGUUGAAGUAGGGCCUGGAGGAAGGCCACAAAGAUGAUCAGAGCACUGGAGCACCUCUCAUGUGAAGAAAGGUUGAGGGAGUUGGACUUGUUUCAGCCUGGAAAAGAGACAGCUCCAGGGAGACCUCGUUGCUGCCCUCCAGUACUUGAGGGGAGCUUACAAGCAGGAGGAGGACUGAUUUUUUACAAGGUCUUAUAGUGGCAGGACAAAGGGGAAUGGCAUUAAACUAAAAGAGGCGAGAUUUAGGCUAGACAUUAGGAAGAAAAUUUUUACUCAGAGUGUGUUGAGGCACUGGCACAGCUGCCAGAGAGCUGUGGGUGCCCCAUCCCUGGAGGCGUUCAAGGCCAUGUUGGAUGGGGCCCCAGGCAGCCUGAGCUGGUGGGUGGCAACCCUGCCCAUGGCAGGGGGUUGGAACUGAAUGAUCUUUAAGGUCCCCUCCAACCUAAGCCAUUCUAUGAUUCUAUGACUCUAUGAAAUAGUCAGCAGCAAAUCUGGCUUGGCUGUGCAGUGUAUAUGUCUGCCAGCCAGAAAACUAAAUGCAACCUUGGCCUACAUUAUGCAUUAUUCUCUGUCACAGCUUCAAAAGGCCACACCUUCUCUUUACAAGGGUCUCCAUCACCAUAAGCAGAUGGCAGGUGUUAUUCCAGGACUACUCUAUGUCUGUGGGACUGUAGUUAGACAGUUAGAAAACCUUUAGUGCAAGCAAGAGUUAAAAACUGAGUUGCAACAUGUUUCUCAACUAUUUAUGACUUGUGUGAUCUCAGGGGAGUUGGCAGUGACGUGCUUCAGUCAUAGGCCUGCCUAGCUUCCUUCAGCAGUGAGCAGAGGGAGGUGACAGUACCUGCCAUCUCAUUCUCACUGCUACCCACUAUUUUCUCCUUAGUGUCAUUGAGCUUGAUCGAACAAAUGAGCCGAGUGGAGCUUACAGACACAGGCCACUGAAUCUGAGGACCUUUUGGGGCAGGCUGGACUACAUUCAGGUGUUACCUCACCCAGGCAAUGAUGAACAGAUAGUAACUUUCUUCUUACCUGUGAGCCCGCUGAGUCUGGGCUUAUUGUGGGUAGGUUGUAGGAGCAGCAUUCCCCUCUGGAGAUGGCAGGGCAUGGUGUGGCCAUCCCUCCCACCCUUCCCAUCACAGAUCCAUUUUUAGGAGUCCUGUGGGCCACACUCAGGCUGGCUGUGAGGCAGAAGUUGGGGCAGAGCAUGUCCCAGGGCCUGAAACAAACUCUCCUGCCUUCAGUCCAUCACUGCAACCUACUUGUGACAGUCUUCCUUACGUUGCAUCUCAAGUGCCUCUUCAGCUGAUAUCUCAGCUGGAUUUGUGGGAUGCGUUUUUGACAGCUGUUAGAGGACAUUGAAGGCAGCUUGUGUAACCGUUCCCCUUUCACAGGCGCGUGUGGAUUUGUGUCAGAUCAGUUGGGAUGAGCUCGCUGACUCCCUAUGCCACCUUCCCCUGCUCCCUGCCAUCCAGAGGAUGAGAAAUGCCUAGACAUACCACAGAAAUAAAUAAAUAAAUAAAUCAUAUGUGUUAGCUUUCCCCCAGCAAACCGGAUAACAAAGGCCCUGAAGUUCAGUGUCUGAAGUGCUGGAAAGCUGCAUUCUGGCAAGAGGUGCUUUCCAUAAAGAAAGAAGCUGCCCAGACACAGAUAGAGAACAGGCUAAGCUUUGCCCAGCCAAACGCUCUCCACAUCUUCUGAUAAUCCAUUGCUUAAAGAAGCCUGGCCAGCUUCACUGAGAAACAUAGCAGGGCAUACUUGGCAAGCCAAGGCAGUGAAGGAUAUCAAAACGUUAAGAUCUGGACAGCCAAGGCUCUGUGCUAAUGUGGUGGCUAUGCAGGAAGCCCUAGCACCUCUGACUAGGUGCUAAUAGGGCACUGAAAGUGUUCCCACCACCUCCCCAAGAAUUUUGAAGCAUGAGCCACCUUCCCCAG